rnacentral:tRNA from 1 species
GGUAUCGUAGCUCAGUUGGCAGAGCGCCCGGUGUUCCCGGCAUCGGAAGCCGCCGCAGGUUCGAUCCCUGCCGAUACCACCA